rnacentral:rRNA from 1 species
UACGUAGGGCGCAAGCGUUGUCCGGAUUUAUUGGGCGUAAAGAGCUCGUAGGCGGUCUGUCGCGUCGGCUGUGAAACCCCGAGGCUCAACCUCGGGCCUGCAGUCGAUACGGGCAGACUAGAGUGUGGUAGGGGAGACUUGAAUUCCUGGUGUAGCGGUGAAAUGCGCAGAUAUCAGGAGGAACACCGAUGGCGAAGGCAGGUCUCUGGGCAUUAACUGACGCUGAGGAGCGAAAGCAUGGGGAGCGAACAGG